rnacentral:rRNA from 1 species
GGGGGCACCCUUACACAUGCAGUCGAGCGGUAGCACAGGGGAGCUUGCUCCCUGGGUGACGAGCGGCGGACGGGUGAGUAAUGUCUGGGAAACUGCCUGAUGGAGGGGGAUAACUACUGGAAACGGUAGCUAAUACCGCAUAACGUCGCAAGACCAAAGAGGGGGACCUUCGGGCCUCUUGCCAUCAGAUGUGCCCAGAUGGGAUUAGCUAGUAGGUGGGGUAAUGGCUCACCUAGGCGACGAUCCCUAGCUGGUCUGAGAGGAUGACCAGCCACACUGGAACUGAGACACGGUCCAGACUCCUACGGGAGGCAGCAGUGGGGAAUAUUGCACAAUGGGCGCAAGCCUGAUGCAGCCAUGCCGCGUGUGUGAAGAAGGCCUUCGGGUUGUAAAGCACUUUCAGCGAGGAGGAAGGUGGUGAGCUUAAUACGCUCAUCAAUUGACGUUACUCGCAGAAGAAGCACCGGCUAACUCCGUGCCAGCAGCCGCGGUAAUACGGAGGGUGCAAGCGUUAAUCGGAAUUACUGGGCGUAAAGCGCACGCAGGCGGUUUGUUAAGUCAGAUGUGAAAUCCCCGGGCUCAACCUGGGAACUGCAUUUGAAACUGGCAAGCUAGAGUCUCGUAGAGGGGGGUAGAAUUCCAGGUGUAGCGGUGAAAUGCGUAGAGAUCUGGAGGAAUACCGGUGGCGAAGGCGGCCCCCUGGACGAAGACUGACGCUCAGGUGCGAAAGCGUGGGGAGCAAAAAGGAUUAGAUACCCUGGUAGUCCACGCUGUAAACGAUGUCGAUUUGGAGGUUGUGCCCUUGAGGCGUGGCUUCCGGAGCUAACGCGUUAAAUCGACCGCCUGGGGAGUACGGCCGCAAGGUUAAAACUCAAAUGAAUUGACGGGGGCCCGCACAAGCGGUGGAGCAUGUGGUUUAAUUCGAUGCAACGCGAAGAACCUUACCUACUCUUGACAUCCAGAGAACUUUCCAGAGAUGGAUUGGUGCCUUCGGGAACUCUGAGACAGGUGCUGCAUGGCUGUCGUCAGCUCGUGUUGUGAAAUGUUGGGUUAAGUCCCGCAACGAGCGCAACCCUUAUCCUUUGUUGCCAGCGGUUCGGCCGGGAACUCAAAGGAGACUGCCAGUGAUAAACUGGAGGAAGGUGGGGAUGACGUCAAGUCAUCAUGGCCCUUACGAGUAGGGCUACACACGUGCUACAAUGGCGUAUACAAAGAGAAGCGACCUCGCGAGAGCAAGCGGACCUCAUAAAGUACGUCGUAGUCCGGAUUGGAGUCUGCAACUCGACUCCAUGAAGUCGGAAUCGCUAGUAAUCGUAGAUCAGAAUGCUACGGUGAAUACGUUCCCGGGCCUUGUACACACCGCCCGUCACACCAUGGGAGUGGGUUGCAAAAGAAGUAGGUAGCUUAACCUUCGGGAGGGCGCUUACCACUUUGUGAUUCAUGACUGGGGGAAGUCGAAGCGUUGAGGACCC